rnacentral:lncRNA from 1 species
CCAGUUCCACCUUGCCGAAACUUGGGCCUAACUUUAACAGGCCCUUUUCUAACCUCCAUAACCCAAAGAGCUUCGGGACUCAGAUCUUACAGAUUAUUCCUCUGCUCUCCCCUUGACCCCCACGUCAACCCAAACUAAUAAUCUUGCCUUUUGCUCACCCUCAAACCCAGCCCCCAGCGCGCCUUCUCGACCAGUUAAGGUGCACAGCUAGCUAAACGGGUAUGGUCUGUACUUUUCAUGAAAUGUAAGCGGCUGGAUCCCUGGCAACUUUUAAUGUACGGCCUUUAAGAUGUCUUUUUCUUGAGGUUGAACUACUGUUGCUUGUACUGGAGAACUGUACAGAGCUGAGAAUUAGCUGGGUUUUUUUGGGUUGUUUUAACUUUAUUUAAGGGAGGGGGAGGUGGGACGGGAUUACCCUCGGGAAAGGAAAAAAGCCACCUUUCCUUGGCGUGGUAAGCAUUAAAGCUAACCUGACUACUUAGUAAAAUAUAGCUAAGUAAAGUAAAUCUAGGUGUUUGUUUUUAAUGACACUAUGGUAUUAAGGAAUUUCGAAGUCUCCUACAGGUAGCUUUUGUUUUUGUUUUGUCUGAGCAGUGAAUGGAUAGGUAAACGCGUAACUUUUGAUUUUUUGAAGCUGCGGUACAAUACCUUUGUUAAAACUACCUGGAGAGAGUGGUAAGGGUUAUUUAGGUACGUUGCUACUUAGAAAGGGCAUUCGUUGACAUAUUUCUUAGGAAGUGUAACAUUAUGUACUUCUCACACGCUCCAUGUAACUCUGUUGGCCUGAUGCCAGGACUUAACGUCUAUCCUUUUGCCUUCUCAAGUCUCAUACAUCAAUUCAGCAAACAUGUAUUGAAGAUCUGGAGUUCUGUGGCCACAGUUUCUGAACUCUAACUUAUCAUAUGUGUGAUAAAGAAUUUUUCUGGUGUGUACUUCACAAGUCUUACAACUAUUUAUGUGUCUAGUAUAUUGCCUUGGUUGAAGAUGAUAAUUAAAUACAUGAAAGAACACUUGGAAAGGCCGGGAUAUGAUUACCUUUACUGGUAACUAAAAGCCAGAUGGUUUCCUAGGCUUUGGAGUUACAGAAAGGAUUAGGAGUUCUUAUCCGGCCAGGCGCAGUGGUUCACGCCUUUAAUCCCAGCACUUUGGAAGGCCAAGGCUGGCCGAUCAUCUGAGGUCGGGAGUUCGAGACCAGCCUGGCCAACUUGGUGAAACUGUCUCUACUAAGAAUACAAAAACUAGCUGGGCGUGGUGGUGUGCGCCUGUAAUCCCAGCUACUCGGGAGGCUGAGGCAGGGGAAUUGCUUGAACCCAGGAGGUAGAGGUUGCAGUAAGAGUGAGACACUGCCUCAAAAAAAAAAAAAAAAAGGUACUUAUCCUUGGGGUGACUGGAGAAUUCUUUGGGGAAGCCAACUUAUGUCCGAACAACAAUAAUGCCAUUUUAAGUAAUAGAUACAGUGUUAGGGGAGCACUGCAUGCAUUUGUGUGUGUGUGUGUAUAAUGUUUUAUUAUGGUAAAAUGCAUAAUCAAAUUUAUUAUAACCAUAAGUGUACAAUUCAGGGGCAUUGAAUGCACACAGAUUUAUUUAUUUAUUUAUUUUUGAGACAGAGUCUCGCUGUGUCACCAGGCUGGAGUGCAGUGGUGCCAUCUCAGCUCACUGCAACCUCCGCCUCCCAGGUUCAAGUGAUUCUCCUGCCCCAGCCUCCUGAGUAGCUGGGACCACAGGCGCAUGCCAACACUCCUGGCUAACUUUUGUAUUUUUAGUAGAGACGGGUUUCACCAUGUUGGCCAGGUUGGUAUCGAUCUUUUGACCUCGUGACCCUCCUGCCUCGGCCUCCCAGAGUGCUGGGAUUACAGGUGUGAGCCACCGUGCCUGGCGUACAAAUUUAUUUUUGUCAAGGCUUACUGCAGAAUGGAUUUGAGAUGGCUGACAUGCACAUAGAAGGUGAUUAAUAAUGGUGGAACUAAGAGUUAACUGUGCAAGGGCUUAGAAAUACAGUCAAUGAGCAGUCUUUGUAAAAAUUAAUUUAGAUAUAAAUGUUCACAUUUCAGCAUCAUGUAAUUUUAGAACUAGAAGUGACUUGAAAUAUCUAGCUUAACUCCUAUUGUAGAAACCCCCUUGUAGAAAUCAUUCUCUUGUAUGCGCUCUGAAGAUAAUUUUGAGCACAGGGUUCUUGAUUAAGAACACAGAAGAGUAGUCAACUAUAGUGACUACAGUAGCUGCUUUUUAGAAUGUCAGCUCAGUCCACAUCCACUUGACUGAAAAUUCCUCCUAUACACAGAGAUAUCUCUGAAGCCAUGUUGACUCUGCUUAACAUAGCUCUUCCAGUAAACUAUGAUUAGAUCACUGAUAGACCAUAUCCAGGUUUAGCCAAUCAGAUUUUCCCUCUAAGACUUUGGAAACAGAUCAUUGGAAUGCUGAUCAAUUGGCAGUCUAGAGUGGCAAGGUGUUGUUCUAUGGAUUGGAUAGCCAUUUUCUGCCAUGUGCACAACAAUGCAGAAAAACUUCUCUUUGGAACGAGAAAAGAAUUUAAUUCUUCCUGUCACUGGGAAUAUAAUGGUUACCAAAGCAUACCUGGUCGCUUUUGUCAUGGAACUUGUAGUUUGGUAAAACAGGUAUAAUGAUAAGCAGUAAUGGAAAUACCACUGAAUAAAUUUUUCACUUUAAACAAGUUACUCUGGCUGUAAUGAGGAAAACAGUUUUGAAAUGGCCAAGAGUCGAUUUGGGGAGAAAAAUUAGGGGACCAUUUUAGUUUUCCAGGCAAAAAAAGGGUGGGUAGUACUUUAAAGUCGGGUCAUGGCAGUAGAAAUGGAGAGAAGCCAAUAGAUUUAAUAGAUAGGAGAAUCUAGUCAUGUUCAAAAAGAAGCAGAGUUUGAUCAUACUCAGGUUUUUCUGAUUCUCAGCUGUUAUCCCAAAUAAGAUUAUUUGGACAUUUCUUCAAAAUAUAAACUGUUCUUUUGAAAGGGGUACCAGAAAAUACCAUUUUUUCUAACUUGGGACCUAAUCAACUGAAUGAAUGCUAACUGCUUGAGUUGUAUGUAUUUGAAGUAAUGAAAAGAAAGUGUGCUUUAAUCACUAUUGAGAAGUUGAACUUUUUAUUCUUACCCUCAGUGUUAUAUAUUGAAUAUUGUCCUCUACAAAUUCAUAUAUUGAAAUCCUAACCUCCAAUGUGAUAAUAUUAGGAGGUGGGGGCCUUUGGGAAGUAAUUAGGUCAUGAGGGUGAAGACCCCAUGGAUGAGAUUAGUGCCCUUAUAAAAGACUCUCCAGAGAGCUCUCUUGCUCUCUUUCUGCCAUGUGCAGAUGCAAUGAGAAGUCAGCAGUCUACAACCUGGAAGAGGGCCCUCACCAGAACCUGACCAUGCUGCACCCUGAUCUCAGACUUCUAGAUCCGGAACUGUCUGAAAUAAAUUUGUUUUACUCGUAAGCCAUUCUGUAUGGUUUGUUACAGUAGCCCAAACAAAGACACUAAGGAUCUCUUUAUACUCUUUGAAAAUUACUGAAGACCCUAAAGAGUUUUUAUGUGGGCUAUAUAUUGUGAUGUUCACUGUAUUUGAAGUUAAAACUGAAGAAUUUAAAAAACCGGAAUAUACCAGCUCACAUUUCAUUAGCCAUCAGAGUGAUGGCCUCAUUCUAUGUCACACAACCUCUGAAAAAUUCCACCCUACCCCUAUGGGAGAAUACAAGUGAAAAAGGCAAGUGAUAUCUUAAUUUUUAUUUAUUUUUUUUGAGACAGAGUCUCGCUCUGUCGCCCAGGCUGGAGUGCAGUGGUGCAAUCUCGGCUCACUGCAACCUCCACCUCCCGGGUUCAAGUGAUUCUCCUGCUUCAGCCUCCCGAGUAGCUUGCUGUGUGGCAACACAGCAAGACCUUCUCUCAAAAAAUAAAAUUUAAAAAAGAUUUUGAUGUUUAUCAUAGCAGUAAUGGAAAUAAAUUUUUCAUUUUAAACAAGUCACUCUGGCUGUAAUGAGGAAAACAGUUUUCCUUGGAUGCCUGUGCCACCGCGUCCAGCUAGUUUUUGUAUUUUUAGUAGAGACGGGGUUUCACCAUGUUGGCCAGGCUGGUCUUGAACUGACCUCAGAUGAUCUGCCUACCUCAGGUGUUAUGCCUGCCUCAGCCUUCCAAAGUGCUGGGAUUACAGGCGUGAGCCUCCGCCCCCGACUGUCGACAUCUAAAUAUUAUUAUGAAAAUAGGUUUAACCUUAGAGACCUUCUGAAAAGGUUUCUUAGGGGUCCUCAGACCACACCUUGAGAGCUGCUGCUCUAAUCUAUAAGGCUGCCUCUGAUGAUUCUGGAAUAGUAAUAUUUUUCUACUUGUAAAUAUGGGAACGUGUUCUCUGUGCUUCCAGAGUUUAAGAUCUGUGGUGCCAAAAUACAAGCUUCUGAAGAUCUGUGGGCUGAAGUACAAGCUUCUUGGCCUUUCAAGUGAAAUGUUGGUGCUAUGUGUGGGAAAAUUUGGCUGGCCAUGUCAAAAUGGAAAAGGAAUAUAAGUAUGAAAAAAUUUACAUAAUAAACAUGACCAUUUUACUACUAGUGCUUCCUUCAUCAGAAACAUCUUCUGCAACUUAAAAUAGCAAUAAAAGUCAAUAGAUACAAAAAUAUUGACCAUACCAAACAUUUUAAAGGGUUUGGUUGGGGGAGAUGGACAACAGGGAGCUUGCUUUCCCUACCAUCAUUUCUUCAGCAUCCAGCUAUCAUUCAAUCAUGUGUAUGUACUAUCUGAAUUAGAGUAAAGCUAAACUUUUCUAUCAAAGAGGACCCAAAACACUAUGGCUUAAAGAACACUGAAAUUUGCUUAUUUCUCACACACAAAGACUGUACCAGGAACCCAGGUUUUUUCUAUCUUGUUGCUGUGCACUUUCUAACUUAUCAUUCACCAUGGCAUUAUUCUCAGCUGCAUGGUUGAAGAUGGGUCAAGGAACUCCAUGAUCUACCUCAUGCGAAAGAAAAAGGAGCAUGGAGGAUCAUAUAUCCAAUGUCUUGAGACCCAGGCUCAAAAUUACACAUUUCUGUUCAUAUUCCAUUCUGGGAAUGUAGUCACAUGGCCACACCUAGCUUCAAAUGAGGCUGAGAAAUGUCAUCUCUAACUGUGUAGUUAUGGACCUUGCUACAACUCUUCCUACAGAACAGGGACAGGGUGGAUUUUGAUGGACAAUUCACAAUAUCCACUUCAUAGGUAUUUUAGUCAGUGAUUUUUGCCGUUGGUAAAGCAUUCUACUUCUCAGGCUUUAAAAUGUGAGCUUCAGAGCAAAUGUAUUAUAUAUAUCAGUUAUAAAAAAAAAAGACCAUAAAUUCUUAGAAAACUCCCUCCUAGCUUGAACCUUCUCAGAACCCAGCCACUGUUCUGUAAGAAGUCAAAGCUUCAUGGAGAAGCCAUAUAUAUAGGUGUUGUGGUUGAUAGUCCUAGCUGAACCUAGCCUUUAAAUCAUCCCAGCCCAGUCACCAGACAGGAGGGUAAAGACCUAUUUCCCUCUUGGUAAGAGAUCUUCCAUUCUCAGCCCUUCCAGUCCCCACCAGUUCAAGUUGCUUCCAGCUGUUGGAAGCAUCCUAUUUGAGGCCCUAGACAUCAUGGAAAGAGACAAUCCCCACUAUGUCCUGUACAAACUCCCAAACCAUAGAAUUUGUGAGCAUAAUGAAAUGGUUGGUUGGUUGGUUUGGUUGGGGGAAGGGGGGACAGAAUAAUAGAUAUACAUGGCAAUAUUUAACUAGAAUAUACAUUCCAAGUCAGAUAUUUAAAUAGGCCCUCUUCUCAAACUUUCCAUUGAUAGAAUUUUUUGAAAUAUUUAAACUAUCUAAAGUGAGUGAUUAAAAACAUUUUAGCUUGGCCAGGAGGGGUGACUCACACCUGUAAUACCAGCACUUUAGGAUGGCGAAGCAGGAAGAUCACCUGAAGUCAGGAGUUUGAGACCAGCCUGGCCAACAUGGUGAAACCCUGUCUCUACUAAAAAUACAAAAAAAAAAAAAAAAAAAAAAAAAAAAAUUAGCCGGCAUGGUGGCACGCACCUGUAGUCCCAGCUACUCAGGCGGCUGAGCCAGGAGAAUCACUUGAACCUGGGAGGCAGAGGUUGCAGGGAGCCGAGAUCACACCACUGCACUCCAGCCUGGAAGACAGACUGAGAAUCAUCUAAAAAACAAAAACAAAAACUCAGUUUAGCUUUUACAAUUCAUUCACUCAUUUGACAAAAUCUAUGGAGUAUCUAAAAUUUACUGGGGUUAUACCUGCAUACACACAUUAGGAUCCAAUUAUAUUCACUCCUGUGUUUCCCAUGUAGAUUUUGAGCUUCUUGAGUGAAAACAAUAUAUAUUACUUCUGUAAUCUCCACAGCAUCCAGUAAUAUAUAAAGUUUAAUAUGAGUAGAAAGUGCUUGAUAAGAACUUGUUUGAUGAUUUUUAAAAUGUAUAAUAGAAAUGUAUAUAUGUAACCAUUCUUUAUGUGCAUACAUACCACUUAUUCAAGUGUGGCUGAAAAUAUGUGUAUUUUCUAAUUAAAAAUAAGAACUGCUAGUUAUAGGUACUUAUAAAAUAUAAAAGCGAUUUUAAAAUAUGUCACUUUAUAAAGAUUCUUAUGAAGGGUUUCCUAUUAAAGAUGCUAUUUUGGAAGAGUAUUACAGUCAUUUGCAUAUUUAUUUUUGUAUGCUGGUAAUUCACAUGAUCUGUGUAUUGCUUUUACAGUUUAACUGUAAGCCUCUUGCCAAAUGAAAUUUUAUUUUUAAAGUACCUUAUCACCACACACACAUAUGCAAGCAGUCUGAAUUGUAUAAAAUAUAAGAUCCACAUUUCAAUUGCUUUACUUUGUUGCCUAUCACAACUAGAGCAUCCUAAAAUUCUCCUUUAUUAGAGCAAAAUGUGGCUGAUUCAAAUAUCAUACUUCAGCUGCCUUCACCAUUUGAAUGAAAUAAGCUCCCAGCAAGAUGUAUUCAAGAAACUAUGGUUCAAACUGUGUUAUUCUGCUAUAAAGCAAUCUGCUAAACAUUUCUGAAGCAAUUUAGCUGUGACUUAGUUGCAAACAAUGUGGACACUUAAUCUGUGACUUGAAAUUGGGGCUACAGAGAAGUAUUCAAGACUUUUCUCAUGAGUUCACUUGCUUCAGAGAAAGAUACUUCCUAUUUUCUUAUGAGCUAAGAAUGGAAAGCUAAGAACUAUCAACUAUAUUAAAACAAUGAAAAUGAUCAACCUUAUAAGUUGAGUUUGUAUUAAAUCUGAAGUAUUGUAGAUAUAAUGAUACUAUAUCACCUAUUGUAGGUAUAAAUAUAUUAUAAGGGCUUUUACCCAAAAGAAUAGGACUUGCUUUUAGAAUUAUUCUGGGUUAUAUUUGUCUUACCAUAAAUUCUUCAUAAAUAUAUCUUACCUAUAUUAUUAACAUCAUUUUUUCACUGUUUUCUCAGCUGAUAGACUCUGUAUUUGGAGUAAUUAUUUGCCUAAAAAAUGCAUGCCAUCUUGACGAGGUCAACAUUCCAAAAAUAUUUUUUGUACUGAGUUAAUAAAAUAUGUUACAUUAAUCAACUGUACUAUAAUCUUUGAUACUGAUCAAACCAUGUUUAAAUUUGAAAUUCACUAUUUAUAAUAUAUAUAUCAAUAUAUGAAUAAAGAUAAAGGAAAAUGGACACAGAGGUUUAUCAAAAUAAGGGAAAGUAAAUCCUUAUUCUUAUUUCAAGUCAGUUAUUUUUAAAGAUAUUAUUUAGGCUAUGACUAAUAUGUCAAAACUCACCAUGUAGAAAUCAUGUGGGUAUAACUGUACAAUGUUAAAAUUCACUUAUGUUUGUUUAAAAUAACUGUUGAUUAGCCAGAUUUUCUUAUAUUUCAACCUCUUGGUUUGGCAUUAUGUGAGUAGUAUAGUAAUAGAAUAAUAAUAAAGCAAAUAAUUUUUUGUAGCCUGUUAU